rnacentral:rRNA from 1 species
GACGAACGCUGGCGGCAGGCUUAGCACAUGCAAGUCGAGCGGGCGAGGUUGCUUCGGUAACUGAGCUAGCGGCGGACGGGUGAGUAAUGCUUAGGAAUCUGCCUAUUAGUGGGGGACAACAUCUCGAAAGGGAUGCUAAUACCGCAUACGUCCUACGAGAGAAAGCAGGGGACCUUCGGGCCUUGCGCUAAGAGAUGAGCCUAAGUCGGAUAAGAUAGUUGGUGGGGUAAAGGCCUACCAAGGCGACGAUCUGUAGCGGGUGUGAGAGGAUGAUCCGCCACACUGGGACUGAGACACGGCCCAGACUCCUACGGGAGGCAGCAGUGGGGAAUUUUGGACAAUGGGCGCAAGCCUGAUCCAGCCAUGCCGCGUGAGUGAAGAAGGCCUUCGGGUUGUAAAGCUCUUUCGGACGGGAAGAAAUUGGUGGGGCUAAUAUCCCCAUCGGAUGACGGUACCGUAAUAAGAAGCACCGGCUAACUACGUGCCAGCCGCCGCCGUAAGAC